rnacentral:lncRNA from 1 species
UAUAAAACUUAUAUAUUAUGCUAUAUAACAUUAUAAUUAUAAUUUAAUUAGAGUAAUUCAUUUUUUUAUUGUGCUCAACUGUAGCGGUAUUUUAUUUUAAUAGCGGACUGGCGCGAGAGUGUAUUCGUUUUUUAUUAAUAUUGCGCCACUUAGAGGUUGGAGGUGUGUUUAACAGCAUAGAUGUCGAACGCAGUGAGUGACGAGAGAAACGAAGUGCUGCACAUAUCUGGUCAAGAUGGCAGUAAGUGUGCAUAGACAGCUGUCCAGCUCCAGUGAGCCCUAAACAGUCAACACAGGCAUCUGUCCAGACCGACGCAUGAGCUCUCACCUGCGCUGGAUCUCCAGCACAGUUACCCUCCCCGUGAGCCGUGUUUAC